UACGUAGGGUGCAAGCGUUGUCCGGAAUUAUUGGGCGUAAAGAGCGUGUAGGCGGCCAGGUAGGUCUGCUGUGAAAACUCGAGGCUCAACCUCGAGCUGUCGGCGGAAACCAUCUGGCUAGAGUCCGGAAGAGGAGAGUGGAAUUCCUGGUGUAGCGGUGAAAUGCGCAGAUAUCAGGAGGAACACCGAUGGCGAAGGCAGGUCUCUGGGCCAUAACUGACGCUGAGAAGCGAAAGCAUGGGGAGCGAACAGG
rnacentral:rRNA from 1 species